GAAGGAGGAGGCACCGCUGUCCCCCCGGCCCAGGUUCUGUGAUACACUCCGACUCGGGCUCUGGAGCAGUCAGUGCAUGACAGAACUUGGGCCCGGGCGGACCUUCCGCACACUGUGCAGAGCGCCCACCAGGGGCCUGCAGUGGGACAUCCGCCUGGGAGUGGAGCAGGCCCGGAGUGGGCCCCUGAGGGACAGGACUGGGCCAGAACCGGCUAUGGACCUUUUAGGCGCGGGUCACUGGAGCCUGAGCAUGGACCCCUGGGGCCCGUAAAACCAAGGACAGGGCACCUGCCUUGAGUCAGGGGCCGACGGAGCUCCCCUCACCCCGACCUCGUGUCAGUUGCAGGAACCUUCCCUCUACACCAUCAAGGCUGUUUUCAUCCUAGAUAGUGACGGACGCCGCCUGCUGGCCAAGUAUUAUGAUGACACAUUCCCCUCUAUGAAGGAGCAGAUGGCCUUCGAGAAAAAUGUCUUCAAUAAGACCUACCGGACUGACAGUGAGAUUGCGUUUUUCGGGGGCAUGACCAUUGUCUACAAGAGCAGCAUCGACCUCUUCCUGUACGUGGUUGGCUCAUCCCAGGAGAAUGAGCUGAUGCUCAUGUCUGUUCUCACCUGCCUGUUUGAGUCCCUGAACCACGUGUUAAGGAAGAACGUGGAGAAGCGCUGGCUGAUGGAUAACAUGGAUGGAGCCUUCUUGGUGCUGGACGAGAUUGUGGACGGCGGCGUGAUUCUGGAGAGCGACCCCCAGCAAGUGAUCCAGAAAGUGAACUUUAGGGCAGAUGACGGCGGCUUGACUGAGCAGAGUGUGGCCCAGGUCUCUCUGCACAGACUAAUCCUGGUUUUAUGGAGCUUCCUGCCCCGGCACUAACUCCCACCUGCUUGGUGGCCCAGGCCUGGACGGGUGUGUAGCAUCCGUGUGGAGCCCUAGGUUCUUCAGUCUGCCAAGGAACAAAUUAAAUGGUCAUUACUGAAAUGAAGGCUGUGCAUUCGAGACUCCCUGCCCCCAGAUAAUGUCCCCAAUCCUGGCAAAAACUCCGAGACCCCAGGGGACAGGAGAGGCCCCUCUGUAUGCCCAGGCCCUCCCAGAACCAACUCCCGAGGUCUCUGGGCAGAGACUCCGAAAUGAGAAAAAAAAAAUUGGCUUUAGCACCGAGUCACCACUUCUCACUGCCCUGGCCUGCUCCUUGGGCCUCGAGAACCAGCCGAGUUAAACUCAGACCUUAGGCAUCCCUGAAUCCAGAGCCCUAAUAAACCUGCUCUUGUCUCCUGCCAA